rnacentral:lncRNA from 1 species
AAAGGAAAGGAAAGAAAGCAAACAGAAGAAAUGUUCCUGUGAAAGUUCGGUCUUGACUGGCCUGUUGAUGCUUCUUGCAACUCUGCAACACUAAAAUAUCAAACUGUACUAGUAUUCAUCAGGUUUAUGGACUCAUGCCUUUCACUUAUUGGAAAUAACAUCAGGAGAUGACGGUUUGCCAUCCCAAGGCUGGAGUGAGUAAUGAGGAGUUACUGGAUGUCCAAUGACUCCAGUAAACUCCAGAUUGUGUCACAUCUCUAGGACAAAAUAAACGGCGAUGCUAAGAGUAAGCAUCUGUAUGCAAGAAGUACUGGCAAAACUUGCACUGAUUACCAGUGAAAACAGCUGAUCUUCACCUUUCACAAGAACUGUCAACACAGUGAAUUGCUUGAUUACUGCUGAGUCUAUGCUGAAACAACCAGCACAUCGAGAAGGUUUUUAUCUGCACUUAAAACAAAACCAAGAAACUUUUUCUUAAAAGAAAUGUUUAGUUGAAACCACACCGUGUCCAAACAACCUAUUGCUCCCACACUUCUAGCAGGACUAAGGUCUCUUGAGCUGUGUAGCAUAGUUUUCCUAUGAUCAUUUAGACAAUACUGUGUCUUGCAG